ACCCACGGAACAAGUUUGUGUUGGCGCUUGAUUCCAGUGGCAAUCGCAUAUGGAAGCUGAGACUGCCACUCUCGCAGAACAGCAGCUUGGAAGCUUUUGCCGGUUCAUUCGUGGGGGAGUCCGGCUAUGUCGACGGCCCCGCGGCAAAGUCACUUUUUAAUCGCCCACAAAGCCUUGCUAUUUGCGACAAUGGCGCGGUCUUUGUGGCGGAUACGAGGAACUUGGCUAUACGCAAAAUCAGCAAGGAUGGCGAAGUGACCACCAUUGCCGGAGGUAGCUCUCGAAAGCCAGGCUUUGCCGGAG